ensembl:lncRNA
GUAACGAGCAGCUAGGCAGAGCUCCAUAAGCAACGCUUGCAAGUCCGAUGGGAAAACAGUCUCAGAGACCCCACCGUGAGGCCUCAUUUCUGAGAGCGCUACUUGGCAGAAGCAGACCAUAUGCACAAGCAUGAAGUGCUGUACAGACGUGUCAGAAUGGUCGGAAGCACAGCAUAUUCCAGAAGCUUCCAAAUGCAAGAAACCUCACCAGAAACGCAUGGUGCAUGGCUGGCUUCCCAGAGACAGAACACAUGCCAGUCUUUACGAGAGCUCCGAGAGAGUUGAAAAAACAGAGAACCCAGAUAUUCUGAGGUUUCCUGUCCCUUCAAUAUAUAGAGAAAAGACCUGAGACCUGGAAUGGCCAAGUCAACUGCCCAAGACCCACCCCCGUCCCCACCCCACCCCUGGGUCCCCUAGCUAGAACACUCAGAGUCAGGGGACCUGGAUGCACGGUGGCCCGAAUUACGCAGGUACAAGCAGGAUUCUCUCCAGUUCAGGGUCAUCAGCCAUGGGGCUCAUACCACCCACCCGCCCUCACAGGAUGUGGAGGUCAGGAGAGCUAGCAAACGUGAACAGAACCGUGAAACAUCAUGGGGUGCAGGUGAGACCACGGUUACCAAGCAAUUCCUCUCCUGCCUGUAUCCGAGCCCCAAUCCCCAUUCCCACCACCAUUCGGGGAGUCCAGGAGGCCGGAUUCAUAGUGACGAACCCCAGGUUGCACAGCGUGCGCCUCUGCCUCGGGGCUCCUGCCCACACACCCCUGGAGACGCAGUGGACGUCAGAGACCAAGGCCACCAUGGAGCAGGGAGGCUGGGGCCCCGCCACGCCUUGUCGCAGCCCGGCUCUGCACACAAGUCCAGAAGGGCUGGGGACCCUGCGCUUUGCCGUACACGUAUUUCAUUUUUACUGUCUUUUAAGGAGGGGCUCAAGACUAAAAAGCCAAAAUGGAACUGGUGGCUCUGAGAUAUUUCUGUUUGCUUUGCUCCUUUUUUUUUUUUUAAUGGAAGGGCUUAAACAAUCACAUGAGAAAAGAAGGCUAAAUAUAAAGGGAAACUUUCUGACAGCAACAGGGGCACAGACCCUGAGAAGUUUCAGAGAAGGCAGAGGACACAAGGACCCUGCAGACCUAUUUCUUCUCCAGGAUUUAGGGCCAAAAGGGGAGGGCAUAUCUCUCUGGGAGCAUGGCGUGUCAGGUCACCCCCCUGCAGCCCUGCAGCAGUUCCCACACGGCCGUCUAGGAG